rnacentral:ncRNA from 2 species
CCAAUAGCGUAUAUUAAAGUUGUUGCAGUUAAAAAGCUCGUAGUUGAAUUUCGGGGUUCAUCCGUUGGUCGGGCUUUUUGGUCUGUACUGGCGUGAUGGAUUCCUACCUUCUGAAUAACCAGCAUGUCAUUAAUUUGGUGCGCUGGGGAAGCAGGACUGUUACCUUGAAAAAAUUAGAGUGCUUAAAGCAGGCUAUCGCCUGAAUACAUUAGCAUGGAAUAAUGAAAUAGGACGGCAUGGUUCUAUUUUGUUGGUUUCUAGGAUCACCGUAAUGAUUAAUAGGGAUAGUUGGGGGCAUUAGUAUUCAAUUGUCAGAGGUGAAAUUCUUGGAUUUAUUGAAGACUAACUUCUGCGAAAGCAUUUGCCAAGGAUGUUUUCAUUAAUCAAGAACGAAAGUUAGGGGAUCGAAGACGAUCAGAUACCGUCGUAGUCUUAACCAUAAACUAUGCCGACUAGGGAUCGGACGAUGUUAAUUUUUUAAUGACUCGUUCGGCGCCUUACG